GAUAAGCGCUGAAAGCAUCUAAGCGCGAAGCCAACUUCAAGAUAAGAUUUCCCACCGCAAGGGUAAGACCCCAGAAAGACUAUCUGGUUGAUAGGUCGAAGGUGUAAGUGCAGUAAUGUAUUUAGCUUAUCGAUACUAAUAGGUCGAGGACUUGACCAAU
rnacentral:rRNA from 1 species